CCAAUAGCGUAUAUUAAAGUUGUUGCAGUUAAAAAGCUCGUAGUUGAAUUUCGGGAUCAAUUUAUUGGUCGUGCUAUCGUACGUACUGGUAUUAUUGAUUCCUACCUUCUGACGAACCAUGAUGUCAUUAAUUUGGUGUCAUGGGGAAUCAGGACUGUUACUUUGAAAAAAUUAGAGUGUUUAAAGCAGGCUCACGCUUG
rnacentral:rRNA from 1 species